rnacentral:rRNA from 1 species
AUUGAACGCUGGCGGCAGGCCUAACACAUGCAAGUCGAGCGAGCGGCGGACGGGUGCGCAAUGUAUGGGGAUCUGCCUGAUGGAGGGGGAUAACUACGGGAAACGGUAGCUAAUACAGCAUACCAUCAGAUCAACCCACACGGGAUUAGCUAGUAGGUGAGGUAACGGCUCACCAAGGCGACGAUCCAUAGCUGGUCUGCGAGGAUGAUGAGCCACACUGGGAUUGAUAAACGGCCCAGACUCCUACGGGAGGAAGCAGUGGGGAAUAUUGUACAAUGGGCGCAAGCCUGAUGGAGCCAUGCCGCGUGUAUGAAGAAGGCCUUCGGGUUGUAAAGUACUUUUAGUCGGGACGCGUUACCUACAGAAGAAGCACCGGCUAACGCCGUGCCAGCAGCCGCGGUAAUAC